rnacentral:rRNA from 1 species
UCGAGCGAUCCCUUCGGGGAUAGCGGCGGACGGGUGAGUAACGCGUGGGAACGUACCCAGAGGUACGGAACAACAGUUGGAAACGACUGCUAAUACCGUAUACGCCCUUCGGGGGAAAGAAUUUCGCCUUUGGAUCGGCCCGCGUUGGAUUAGGUAGUUGGUGGGGUAAAAGCCUACCAAGCCGACGAUCCAUAGCUGGUUUGAGAGGAUGAUCAGCCACACUGGGACUGAGACACGGCCCAGACUCCUACGGGAGGCAGCAGUGGGGAAUCUUAGACAAUGGGCGCAAGCCUGAUCUAGCCAUGCCGCGUGAGUGACGAAGCCUAGGGUCGUAAAGCUCUUUCGCCUGUGAAGAUAAUGACGUAGCAGAAAGAAACCCCGGCUAACUCCGUGCCAGCAGCCGCGGUAAUACGGA